rnacentral:rRNA from 1 species
UACGUAGGGCGCAAGCGUUGUCCGGAAUUAUUGGGCGUAAAGAGCUCGUAGGCGGCUUGUCACGUCGGGCGUGAAAGCCCGGGGCUUAACCCCGGGUCUGCAUUCGAUACGGGCAGGCUAGAGUGUGGUAGGGGAGAUCGGAAUUCCUGGUGUAGCGGUGAAAUGCGCAGAUAUCAGGAGGAACACCGGUGGCGAAGGCGGAUCUCUGGGCCAUUACUGACGCUGAGGAGCGAAAGCGUGGGGAGCGAACAGG